UCGCAUCUAUUGCACAUGUCAGGUUCAUUAUCUUUACUUGAAGUGGAAAAGUUUUGGAUGGAGUCCUUUUGUUUCUCUCUAAGAAUUUUUAUCACCUUUUCAAGGGUUUUAUUUUUAGAUUCAAUAGAGGAGAUAAUAUCUUUGGAUACAUAAGCAAUUUUCUAUAGCUUGUUUAAUUCUUUUGUUAAAUUUUUGCAUAAUCUAAAUAAGUCAUGAUAUGGGAAGUGAGAGGUUACCUCUUCAUCUUGAUUAUUUUCCAUUAGGUAGAUGUUAG
rnacentral:lncRNA from 1 species